UCAGGACGAACGCUGGCGGCGUGCCUAAUACAUGCAAGUCGAGCGGAGUUAUUCCUUCGGGGAUAACUUAGCGGCGGACGGGUGAGUAACACGUAGGCAACCUGCCUGUAAGAUCGGGAUAACUACCGGAAACGGUAGCUAAGACCGGAUAAUCAGCUUGGUCGCAUGAUUGGGCUGGGAAAAGCGGAGCAAUCUGCUACUUACAGAUGGGCCUGCGGCGCAUUAGCUAGUUGGUGAGGUAACGGCUCACCAAGGCGACGAUGCGUAGCCGACCUGAGAGGGUGAACGGCCACACUGGGACUGAGACACGGCCCAGACUCCUACGGGAGGCAGCAGUAGGGAAUCUUCCGCAAUGGACGCAAGUCUGACGGAGCAACGCCGCGUGAGUGAUGAAGGUUUUCGGAUCGUAAAGCUCUGUUGCCAGGGAAGAACGCUUGGGAGAGUAACUGCUCUCAAGGUGACGGACC
rnacentral:rRNA from 1 species